CUCCUACCUACUACCUAGCGAACCCACAGGCAGGGGAACGGGCCUGCAAGAAACGGCGGGGAAAGAAGACCCUGUUGAGCUUGACUCUAGUCUGCUAUUGUGGAGAGACAUGAGGGGUGUAGCAUAAGUGGGAGGUGGGUGCUCUUGUAGCGAUCUCGUGCCGUCGUUGAAAUACCACUACCCUCAUCGUUUCUCCACUUACUCGGUUAGACGGGAAUUGUCCUUCGCGGGACCCUGUUCUAGCCUCAAUCGGGCACGCCGCCUCGUCGCGGCCCCGAGACCCGCUCCGAGGACAUUAGCAGGCGGGGAGUUUGACUGGGGCGGUACAUCUGUCAAACAAUAACGCAGGUGUCCUAAGGCUGUCUCAGCGUGGUCAGAAACCUCGCGUAGACCAAAAGAGGAAAUGACGGCUUGAUCCUGAUUUUCAGUACGAAUACGGACAGUGAAAGCUCGGUCUAUCGAUCCUCUUUGUACUUCUCGAGAGUUUCGAGCAAGAGGUGUCAGAAAAGUUACCACAGGGAUAAC
rnacentral:rRNA from 1 species